rnacentral:rRNA from 1 species
AGCGAACGCUGGCGGCAGGCUUAACACAUGCAAGUCGAGCGGGCGUAGCAAUACGUCAGCGGCAGACGGGUGAGUAACGCGUGGGAACAUACCUUUUGGUUCGGAACAACACAGGGAAACUUGUGCUAAUACCGGAUAAGCCCUUACGGGGAAAGAUUUAUCGCCGAAAGAUUGGCCCGCGUCUGAUUAGCUAGUUGGUGAGGUAACGGCUCACCAAGGCGACGAUCAGUAGCNGGUCUGAGAGGAUGAUCAGCCACAUUGGGACUGAGACACGGCCCAGACUCCUACGGGAGGCAGCAGUUGGGAAUCUUGGACAAUGGGGGAAACCCUGAUCCAGCCAUGCCGCGUGAGUGAUGAAGGCCUU